rnacentral:tRNA from 1 species
AUGUCUUUAAUUUAAAGUAAAAAUAUAAAUUUCCAAAAUUUAUAAUAAAGGUUCGAAUCCUUUAGGACAUGUAU